UGGAUAGCUCAGUCGGUUAAAGCGUGGUGCUGAUAAUGCCAAAGAUUUAAGAUUGAUCCCUGUAUGGGACAA